rnacentral:rRNA from 1 species
UACGUAGGGCGCAAGCGUUGUCCGGAAUUAUUGGGCGUAAAGAGCUCGUAGGCGGUCUGUCGCGUCUGCCGUGAAAACCCGAGGCUUAACCUCGUGGCUUGCGGUGGAUACGGGCAGACUUGAGUUCGGCAGGGGAGACUGGAAUUCCUGGUGUAGCGGUGAAAUGCGCAGAUAUCAGGAGGAACACCGGUGGCGAAGGCGGGUCUCUGGGCCGAUACUGACGCUGAGGAGCGAAAGCGUGGGGAGCGAACAGG